AGAGUUUGAUCCUGGCUCAGGACUAACGCUGGCGGUAUGCCUUAGACAUGCAAGUCGAACGAGUUUCCGGGCUUGCUCGGAAAUUAGUGGCGAACGGCUGAGUAACGCGUAGGUGACCUACCCCGUAGUGUGGAAUAACUGCCCGAAAGGGUAGCUAAUACCGCAUGUUGAGCCGACAUCGAUGUCGUCUCCAAAGCAGAAAUGCGCUAUGGGCGGGGCCUGCGUUCGAUUAGCUAGUUGGUGGGGUAAUGGCUCACCAAGGCGACGAUCGAUAGGUGGUCUGAGAGGACGAUCACCCAGACUGGGACUGAGACACGGCCCAGACUCCUACGGGAGGCAGCAGUCGGGAAUUUUGCGCAAUGGGGGAAACCCUGACGCAGCAAUACCGCGUGUGGGAUGAAGGCCUUCGGGUCGUAAACCACUUUUUUCGGGGACGAUAAUGACGGUACCCGAAGAAUAAGCCACGGCUAACUACGUGCCAGCAGCCGCGGUAAUAC
rnacentral:rRNA from 1 species